GACGAACGCUGGCGGCGUGCUUAACACAUGCAAGUCGAGCGGUAAGGCCCUUUCGGGGGUACACGAGCGGCGAACGGGUGAGUAACACGUGGGUGACCUGCCCUCAGCUCUGGGAUAAGCCUGGGAAACCGGGUCUAAUACCGGAUAUGACUCCAUGACGCAUGUUGUGGGGUGAAAGCCUUGUGCGGCUGAGGAUGGGCCCGCGGCCUAUCAGCUUGUUGGUGGGGUGAUGGCCUACCAAGGCGACGACGGGUAGCCGGCCUGAGAGGGCGACCGGCCACACUGGGACUGAGACACGGCCCAGACUCCUACGGGAGGCAGCAGUGGGGAAUCUUGCGCAAUGGGCGAAAGCCUGACGCAGCGACGCCGCGUGAGGGAUGACGGCCUCGG
rnacentral:rRNA from 1 species